UAAACAUUCAAAUACAAGGCGGCGGAAAUUUGGAUCUUUGGUGGCCAUCGGUGUUCUUGGCCACUGCGUACCCACCCAACCUAGGAUGCCUGAAAAAGGUCUAGCAAUUCAUCAUCAUUACAAACUGGCUUUAAUUAUUCAGGCCGCAGGAUCGCUAAUCGACCGCCGUCUUAAAAUUUAGCGGUCAAAGCUAAUUGUUAAGAAAAGGACCGGAAAUGUUCUGCCACCCUUAUAUCGGCAGAAUUCUUUUGUUAACGCGGCUUAAAAUUAGGGUCACCUAAUCCUGAAGAGCUCCAAGGGAAAAGGAGGGACGCCGAAAGCAACCGUCGAUCAAGGGUGAAUCUUUGGAAGGACGCCCAAUAGACUUAACAAUAUAAGGAAGUGGUGGGUUUGGGCUCGGCCCACCAGGAAAUCGCACCACCAGGAACUCGGAGGCUUAUGGAGUUUGGCUGGCCAACCUCGUGGUACCAACCGCUCGCGAGGUAAACUGGCCACUAUCGGAGGCACCACGACACGGAACGGACUCACCGGAGAUCUGGAGUCCGAGAAUGGUGACUGGGUCGCUGAUGAUUCCCUCACUCUUGCGUAAGCCGACUUCGUUUCCUCCAAAAAAAUUAUUUGUACGAAAACGGCGUAUCUUCCAAAAUUGAUUAUCUCCAACCAGGGAAAAUGUGGAUCUCCUCCAAAAUAAAUUAUACUGAGGCUCCUCCAAAAUGAACGUGGUACUCGCAAUAAUAUGUAGCUCCUCCAAAAAUAUGGUGUUCUUUGAACAAUGUGGUUUCUCCAGAAAUAUUUAUUGGGUUUCUUCAAAAAGAACGUGUUGCUCAAGAAAAAAUGAGGCUUCUCCAGAAUAAGGCGAUCUUCAAAACAGGUUAUAUCGUCUUCACGAAAAAUAUGCAUUCCUCAAGAAAAAGAAUCCCGGAGCCCUUUAUUAUGGGACCCCGGGUUCCCUAAACAAAAAUAAACAUUU